rnacentral:rRNA from 1 species
GACGAACGCUGGCGGCGUGCCUAAUACAUGCAAGUGGGACGCAAGGGAACACACUGUGCUUGCACACCGUGUUUUCUUGAGUCGCGAACGGGUGAGUAACGCGUAGGUAACCUGCCUAUUAGCGGGGGAUAACUAUUGGGAACGAUAGCUAAUACCGCAUAAUAUUAAUUAUUGCAUGAUAAUUGAUUGAAAGAUGCAAGCGCAUCACUAGUAGAUGGACCUGCGUUGUAUUAGCUAGUUGGUAAGGUAAGAGCUUACCAAGGCGACGAUACAUAGCCGACCUGAGAGGGUGAUCGGCCACACUGGGACUGAGACACGGCCCAGACUCCUACGGGAGGCAGCAGUAGGGAAUCUUCGGCAAUGGACGAAAGUCUGACCGAGCAACGCCGCGUGAGUGAAGAAGGUUUUCGGAUCGUAAAGCUCUGUUGUAAGUCAAGAACGUGUGUGAGAGUGGAAAGUUCACACAGUGACGGAGCUACCAGAAAG